AUGCCUAAGUCAGAGUCUCCUAAAGAACCGAACAGCUGAGGAAGCUCUUCAUUGGAGGGCUGAGCUUUGAAACAAGGUGAGAGCCUGAGGGGCCAUUUUCAGCAAUGGGGAAUGCUCAUGGACUGUGUGGUAAUGAGAGAUUCAAACAUCAAGAGCUCCAUGGGCUUUGGGUUUGUCACAUAGGCCACUGUGGAGAAUGGGGAUGUGGCCAUGAAUGGAAGGCCACACAAGGUGGAUGGGAGAGUUGUGGAACCAAAGAGAGCUGUCUCAAGAGAAGAUUCUCAAAGACCAGGUGCCCACUUAACUGUGAAAAACAUAUUUGUUGGUGGCAUUAAAGAAGACACAGAAGAACAUCACCUAAGAGAUUAUUUUGAACAGUUUGGAAAAAUUGAAGGGAUUGAAAUCAUGACUGAUUGAGGCAAUGGCAAGAAAAGAGGCUUUGCCUUUGUAAUCUUUGAUGACUAUGACUCCGUGGAUAAGACGGUCAUUCAGAAAUACCACACUGUGAAUGGCCACAACUGUGAAGUUAGGAAAGCCCUGUCAAAGCAAGAGAUAGCUAGUGCUUCAUGCAGCCAAAGAGGUCGAAGUGGUUCUGGAAACUUUGGUGGUGAUCGUGGUGGUGGUUUUGGUGGGAAUGACAACUUUGGUCGUGGAGGAAACUUCAGUGGUCAUGGUGGCUUUGGUGGCAGCUGUUGUGGUGGUGGAUAUGGUGGCAGUGGGGAUGGCUAUAAUGGAUUUGGUAAUGAUGCCAGCAAUUUUGGAGGUGGUGGAAGCUACAAUGAUUUUGGCAAUUACAACAAUCAAUCUUCACAUUUUGGACCCAUGAAGCGAGGAAACUUUGGAGGCAGAAGCUCUGGCCUCUAUGGUGAUGGAGGCCAAUACUUUGUCAAACCAUGAAACUAAGGUGGCUAUGGUGGUUGCAGUAACAGCAGUAGCUACGGCAGUGGCAGAAGAUUU
rnacentral:lncRNA from 1 species